rnacentral:rRNA from 1 species
UGGGAAUUUUGGACAAUGGGCGAAAGCCUGAUCCAGCAAUGCCGCGUGUGUGAAGAAGGCCUUCGGGUUGUAAAGCACUUUUGUCCGGAAAGAAAUCCUUGGCUCUAAUACAGUCGGGGGAUGACGGUACCGGAAGAAUAAGCACCGGCUAACUACGUGCCAGCAGCCGCGGUAAUACGUAGGGUGCAAGCGUUAAUCGGAAUUACUGGGCGUAAAGCGUGCGCAGGCGGUUUGCUAAGACCGAUGUGAAAUCCCCGGGCUCAACCUGGGAACUGCAUUGGUGACUGGCAGGCUAGAGUAUGGCAGAGGGGGGUAGAAUUCCACGUGUAGCAGUGAAAUGCGUAGAGAUGUGGAGGAAUACCGAUGGCGAAGGCAGCCCCCUGGGCCAAUACUGACGCUCAUGCACGAAAGCGUGGGGAGCAAACAGGAUUAGAUACCCUGGUAGUCCACGCCCUAAACGAUGUCAACUAGUUGUUGGGGAUUCAUUUCCUUAGUAACGUAGCUAACGCGUGAAGUUGACCGCCUGGGGAGUACGGUCGCAAGAUUAAAACUCAAAUGAAUUGACGGGGUCAUAGCUGUUU